UGGAUACAAAGGGAAAGCCUUAUUAAAUUCAGUAAAUGCAAAAGAAUGAAGAUGGUCCCUCAUCAUUGCAAAUAUGGUUACAUGAUGCUCAGUGGAUUAGGAAGAUCAACUUAAACAGGCAUGACAGAGCUGAUCCUUGUAGGUUCAAUGCCAAUCACCACUAGACAGAAUGAGUGCAUCUAUCAGGAGAUUGAAGAUCAGGAGCUGAGAACUGCAGUAACGUCCACACUCACCAC